GAAAUUAAGUUGCAGUGUUGCUGUUAUAUGUUGUGUUGACUGACAGCCGUAGGAAUGCAUCAAAGAAUUGUACGAAUGAUACAAAAUAAUUGAUCAAACCAAAAAUUUAUAUUGAAAACGACACAGAGGUGUUCUCAUUUGAUGAAGGAAAGAAUUUGACGUUUCUACAACGUAACGUCUUAUCCUGCUGCCGACAUCUUUUGGUGGCGUUUAAAAUAUGAUGGAUCCAACGAGCAGAUUUAAACAAGUUGUUCUGCGGCUGAGCAACAUUGCAAAUAUCAUGACGGAAAAAAAAUUACAAGAAACAAAUUUGAAGUAAAGUCUGUCAGAUUCCCUGAUGAUAAUAUAACCUACAAGAUCAAUGUAAGCAAUAUGAAAGGAUAUGAGAUCAAGAAUAUUUCAAUACAAAUUCUCGGUUAGUCCUGUUCGAAAAAGUAUUUGAGUUAAGCCUAGCAUUGAAAUUUGAAACGAAAAUAUAGUUUUGAAGAAAGGAUUUUCGGUGUUGAAAUGUACAUUAAACCAGAGACA